UGGUGCAUUCUACAGUCUAGCAACUGCAAUCCUAAUCCUCUGAUCCGCAGCCAAGAACAGAAGAAACAACCUGUCCUCAUGGAUUCCUCUUUUCACUCUGCUGAUACAACAUAAAAUAAGCUUAUGGAUAUAUAUACAGAUGGACGGACGGAAUGUAGCUGGCGCCAAUCAUGAGUCAUCAAAAAGGUCCUUCAUCUGGCCGGCUUCAUGCUUCCAUCUCCCUUUCACAAAUAUUUUUAAGGUAAUCCUUUUAUGGAAUAUAGAAGAAUGAAGGUGCAGCAAGUUGAAAUUGGUGCCACGGGAAAGGAUGCAACAAGUUUUGAUGACGCUUCUUUAAAAUUCAUUAUAUCCCACACCUCUAGAUCUGUCUGAGGCAUAGAACAAGAUUUGCUUCGCACAUGGAAACCAAACCAACAAGCAGGUCCAGAUCAGCUGGUAAGUUUGUAGUAAUUUAAUCGUUGAUUACGGAGACUAACAAUAGUACUAAAAGCUGACAAGGUUGAUUUGUCCGGUAAGCGGCGGACACGUGGCACGCCCGGGACACCUAAUUCAAAGAGAAGCUUCUGUGAUUGAAAGCAAUCAAAGAGGAAGACGCACAUAAUAUAGCAACAAAUACAAAUGCGCUAGGAAAAAAUAAAUGGUUGAGGGAGGAAGGCUGAGUAAGCAAGCAGGAACAGAUCAAGAGCCCCCACACUAAAUUCAAGGACCAUGACAGCAACUCCUACUCGCCUACCAUUGUCAUUGUGUGGUGUGGCUAAUAAUAAUAAUAAUAAUAAUAGUAAUAGUAAUAAUAAUUGAUCACCACACGUCACCACGAUAUCAGCAACAGCUUAGUAGCUAAUAAUCAAGGAGCUGUAUAAUGUGUUCGUGCAAAUUUACAGAAUUGAAAAUUUUGAGGCCCCCAAUAUAUUUUGCACCUAAUUAGUUGAUUGAUAUAUAAAUCCAGCUGUCAGCGAAAUUUCACAACCUUCCAUUCUUCGACAACUGGAUUCUAUCGCUGUAUCUUAUGAUCCGAGGGAAUUUAUUUUCAUCUACUUUAUAAUUUACCACGGUUGGAAAUUGAUUGACAGUUUCAUGGAUGUCCUCGGCUAUAUAUAUCAGAAGUAGCCAAUAGUUACACCAAAGGAGGAGAGCUCACCGAGGUAGCCAAAGAACAAAUUAUCGAUCAGAAUAAUCAUGCCGAUAAAUUUAUCUUAAGCCCACUCAUUUGAAUAAGAUAUCAACUGUGGAUGGUGGCUGAACUUGGCUGCAACUUGCAAGACGGCUGCUGGAUUUCCCUGAAAAACAAAACAACCAAUCCAAGUGUUUCUCUUGCAUAACAAGGCGUCAUAUAAAAUUUGUCAUCCAGCAGAUUGCGUAUUAUUCGGUUACUAUCUUAAUUAUUCUGUUUACACUUUUUUAUAUUUUCUAGUAUAUAUACUACAAAACUUCAUCCUGACAAGUAACAAGACCAAAGAAACAAUAACGAUGUAAACAUGAGCUCUGGUUGCUCGCGUGAUAUUUUUGUUUGUUUGUUUGUUUUUGAAGUUCUUCAUGAUCUGAUCGCUCUGGUGAUGGUUGGGUAACUAAGAAACAUUUACAGUAACUCAAAAAUAAUAAUUCCUGUACGAAAUUUUUUACUGCUCCUCUUAACCAGAUAUUUUGAUUGAAUUGUCAUGUUUAAAAUAUGCUACAUAUCCUCGUCACAAAGAAGCAAGCUAAAAGGUGAAAAGAGGUUAAUUAGUGGGUGGUUACAGGAAAGUAAAAAAGAUGGGAAGUAGAUGGUAGAAGUAGCCGGUAGGAUAAAAAGGAAGGCAUGCACUCACUAGAGGUAGGGAGGUAGGGUUGAUAGAUGGAUUUGUAAUUUAAAAUCUAAGACAAGGCUGGCUGGAUUGUUUUUAUAUUAGGUCCACCCACUGGUUGUUAGGGAGAUGAGAUGAGGAGCAUCCAUCCAUCCAUCUGACAAUCCAAACCACAGCACCCACUCCCAACCUCAAUGUGUGCACAGCAAGCCCUUCCCAAUGCAACCUUUGAUUUGAAGAGAGGUUACCAAGUUAACCACCUUUAGUGAGAGUACUUAAUUAUUAGCGUUAUCCCUGUCCUGGUUCACCCGAUGCCUCGGGAUUAUGUCCAAGUUACGGUUCAGGUGUACUAAGGUCAUUAAAUACAGGUAUGGCUGCUAAGAUGUUUGAUCACAGGGUGAAAAAGUGCUAGUACUUCACAUAUGUGAGUCAGCACAAAGGUAAAUUGGUGAAAUUAUGUAACA